GACGAACGCUGGCGGCGUGCCUAAUACAUGCAAGUCGAACGCAGUGGGGACGGGUGAGUAACACGUGGGUAACCUCCCAUCAGAGGGGUUAACACUUGGAAACAGGUGCUAAACCGAUAUGGAUGGAUGGACCCGCGGUGCAUUAGGUAGUGGGUGAGGUAACGGUUCACCAAGGCCACGAUGCAUAGCGGCCAUGGUAGGGUGAUCGGCCACACUGGGACUGAGACACGGCCCCGACUCCUACGGGAGGCAGCAGUGGGGAAUAUUGUACAAUGGGCGCAAGCCUGAUACAGCCAUGCCGCGUGUAUGAAGAAGGCCUUAGGGUUGUAAAGUACUUUCAGCGGGGAGGCGUUACCCGAAGAAGAAGCACCGGCUAACUCCGUGCCAGCAGCCGCGGUAAUAC
rnacentral:rRNA from 1 species